rnacentral:rRNA from 1 species
UACGGAGGGGGCUAGCGUUGUUCGGAAUUACUGGGCGUAAAGCGCACGUAGGCGGACUGUUAAGUCGGGGGUGAAAUCCUGGGGCUCAACCUCAGAAUUGCCUCCGAUACUGGCAGUCUCGAGUGCGGGAGAGGCGAGUGGAAUUCCCAGUGUAGAGGUGAAAUUCGUAGAUAUUGGGAAGAACACCAGUGGCGAAGGCGGCUCACUGGCCCGUAACUGACGCUGAGGUGCGAAAGCGUGGGGAGCAAACAGG